rnacentral:ncRNA from 1 species
GGUGAUAUUGUGAGUUUUUUGUUGUUAUCACUUGGAACGGUUUGAUACUGGCCGUUGGUUAUGUAAAAGAUUUAUAUCUAAUAUUGAAUUGAUGUGAUGGGCAAUGAUAUUUUACCAUGUUUUUUAAUUAAAUGUAUAAGACAGGUUCCAGAAUAAUCGGUUAGGCUUGUCAUUUUUAUAAUCUAGUUGAGAAGGUUAAAGAAAUUUAGGAUGUUUUUUGAAAAUUUAAGAGUGGAAUGUAAGAUUUUUGUUUAGUUAUUUUUUUUUAAUUUAAGUACUGGUAAAUAAAUUGGGUUAGACACCAAGUAGUCAGAGGUAAAUAGAUCAGGAGUAGAGUGAAGUGGAAACUGAAAGUACUUUGGCAGGCGUUUAAUUUUUCUUCGGGAGCUGGUUAGUAAUCGAAAUCCCUCGUUGGUAGCUAGUACUAUGGGCACAUGUAUGAUCGUUUUUAUUUAUUUUAAGAGUGAAUAGUAGAUUUUAUUAGAAUUGAUAGCAGAUAUAUACUUGGUGAAUGUGCUAGAUUUUCUGGGUCACAAUGUGUUAGUUUUAGUUGGAAGAAGAUUUAACAAUCUUUAGAAAUUGUAGAAGAAAGUAAAGUUUAUUUUUAUAGUUAAUUUGAAUUUUAUUUAAAUGCGGUACAAAUUAUCCAUCAAUUGUCCAAAGGAGAGUAAGUUGUAGUAGAGUAAGGCUAGAGGAAUCUGGUCUUAGAUAUCCUCUAAUUUCAACUAACAGAGAUCUAUAGGAGGGGG